AUACGGAGGAUCCGAGCGUUAUCCGGAUUUAUUGGGUUUAAAGGGUGCGCAGGCGGCCAUUUAAGUCAGCGGUUAAAUCGUGGGGCUCAACCCCAUUCUGCCGUUGAUACUGGGUGGCUUGAUUGCGGUCGAGGUUGGCGGAAUUCGUUGUGUAGCGGUGAAAUGCAUAGAUAUGACGAAGAACACCGAUUGCGUAGGCAGCUGACCAGACCGCAAAUGACGCUCAUGCACGAAAGUGCGGGGAUCGAACAGGAUUAGAUACCCUGGUAGUCCGCACAGUAAACGAUGAAUACUUGUUUCCGGCGAUAUAAUGUCGGAGGCAAAGCGAAAGCGAUAAGUAUUCCACCUGGGGAGUACGCCGGCAACGGUGAAACUCAAAGGAAUUGGCGGGG
rnacentral:rRNA from 1 species